AUUGAACGCUGGCGGCAGGCCUAACACAUGCAAGUCGAGCGAGCGGCGGACGGGUGAGUCAUGUCUGGGAAACUGCCUGAUGGAGGGGGAUAACUACUGGAAAAGGUAGCUAAUACCGCAUACCAUCGGAUGUGCACAGAUGGGAUUAGCUAGUAGGUGGGGUAAAGGCUCACCUAGGCGACGAUCCCUAGCUGGUCUGAGAGGGUGACCAGCCACACUGGAACUUAGACACGUUCCAUACUCCUACGGGAGGCAGCAGUGGUGAAUAUUGCACAAUGGGCGCAAGCCUGAUGCAGCCAUGCCGCGUGUAUGAAGAAGGCCUUCGGGUUUUAAAGUACUUUCAGCGGGGAGGCGUUACCCGCAGAAGAAGCACCGGCUAACUCCGUGCCAGCCGCCGCGGUAAUUC
rnacentral:rRNA from 1 species